rnacentral:rRNA from 1 species
UACGUAGGCAGCGAGCGUUGUUCGGAGUUACUGGGCGUAAAGAGUGCGUAGGCGGUUUUUUAAGUUUGGUGUGAAAUCUCCCGGCUUAACUGGGAGGGUGCGUCGAAAACUGGAAGGCUGGAGUAUGGGAGAGGUAAGCGGAAUUCCUGGUGUAGCGGUGAAAUGCGCAGAUAUCGGGAAGAACACCCGUGGCGAAGGCGGCUCUCUGGGACGGUACUGACGCUGAGACGCGAAAGCGUGGGGAGCGAACAGG